ACCAACUGCCUGUCUAAUCUUCAAUGCCUCCAGAUUUCACUAAUCAACCUGUUGUCCAGGCUAAGGAGGCUGUCUGGGAGAAAGAGCAAAGAGCAUGAAGAGAUCAGUGAAUGAUUCUUGUAAAGCAGCUCAUGGAAUGGACUUCUGAGACCAACUAUGAGCCCUCCAGACUGGUGCUUUCCAACCAACAGACAAAAGUAUCCACUCUACACGAAUGAUACAUAGAUAUAUACACAGAAUACCAGGAUGGAUACAGUUUCUUCAGUUUCAUGAAUGAGGUAUUCAGCAGGUCUUGGUCCACAGAAGCAACGACAUCAGGUUUUCCAAUUCCAUUUGACAUGGGACCAGAACCUUCAACCGAAUGUUCCUUCCUGGAAAGCUGCAGCCUGUCAGCGUGGCUCAGUGGUUUGUGAACUGCAAGUUCCCGUCUCGAAAGGUGGUCGUGUUCAUCAAGCCCACCUGCCCCUAUUGCAGAAAGACCCAAGAAAUCCUCAGUCAACUGCCUUUCAAACCUGGUCUUCUGGAAUCUGUGAACAUCACAGUCACUAACAUCACCAAUGCGAUUCAAGAUUAUUUACAACAGCUCACUGGAUGGAGAACAGUUCCUCAGGUCUUCAUAGGUAAAGAAAGACUGCAUAGGCAGACGCAGUGAUCUAAUAUCCAUGACACAGCAAGGUGAGCUGAUGACCUGACUGAAGGAGAUUGGAGCUCUGCAGUUAGGAAAGGGGUGCAGGCAG
rnacentral:lncRNA from 1 species